rnacentral:rRNA from 1 species
CGCGAAACCUUUACACUGCACGCAAGUGCGAUAAGGGGACCCCGAGUGCGAGGGCAUACAGUCCUCGCUUUUCACUACCGUACGAUGGUAGUGGAAUAAGAGCUGGGCAAGACCGGUGCCAGCCGCCGCGGUAAUACCGGCAGCUCGAGUGAUGGCCGAUCUUAUUGGGCCUAAAGCGUUCGUAGCCGGCCACACAAGUCCACCGGGAAAUCCGCCAGCCCAACUGGCGGGCGUCCGGUGGAAACUGUGUGGCUAGGGACCGGAAGACCCGAAGGGUACGUCUUGGGUAGGAGUGAAAUCCUGUAAUCCUGGACGGACCGCCGAUAGCGAAAGCACUUSGGGAAGACGGAUCCGACGGUGAGGGACGAAAGCCAGGGUCUCGAACCGGAUUAGAUACCCGGGUAGUCCUGGCCGUAAACGAUGUCUGCUAGGUGUGGCUCCCACUACGAGUGGGUGCUGUGCCGUAGGGAAGCCGCUAAGCAGACCGCCUGGGAAGUACGUCCGCAAGGAUGAAACUUAAAGGAAUUGGCGGGGGAGCACUACAACCGGAGGAGCCUGCGGUCUAAUUGGAAUCA